CUACGGGUGGCUGCAGUGAGGAAUAUUGCACAAUGGGGGGAACCCUGAUGCAGCAACGCCGCGUGGAGGAUGACGCAUUUCGGUGUGUAAACUCCUUUUAUAUGUCAAGAAAAUGACGGUAGCAUAUGAAUAAGCACCGGCUAACUCCGUGCCAGCAGCCGCGGUAAUACGGAGGGUGCAAGCGUUACUCGGAAUCACUGGGCGUAAAGGACGCGUAGGCGGGUUGGAAAGUCAGGUGUGAAAUCCUACAGCUUAACUGUAGAACUGCACUUGAAACUUCUAAUCUAGAGUAUGGGAGGGGGAGAUGGAAUUAGUGGUGUAGGGGUAAAAUCCGUAAAUAUCACUAGGAAUACCUAAAGCGAAGGCGAUCUCCUGGAACAUUACUGACGCUAAGGCGCGAAAGCGUGGGGAGCAAACAGGAUUAGAUACCCCGGUAGUC
rnacentral:rRNA from 1 species